UACGUAGGUGGCUAGCGUUGCUCGGAAUCACUGGGCGUAAAGGGUGCGUAGGCGGGUCUUUAAGUCAGGGGUGAAAUCCUGGAGCUCAACUCCAGAACUGCCUUUGAUACUGAGGAUCUUGAGUCCGGGAGAGGUGAGUGGAACUGCGAGUGUAGAGGUGAAAUUCGUAGAUAUUCGCAAGAACACCAGUGGCGAAGGCGGCUCACUGGCCCGGUACUGACGCUGAGGCACGAAAGCGUGGGGAGCAAACAGG
rnacentral:rRNA from 1 species